GACGAACGCUGGCGGCGUGCUUAACACAUGCAAGUCGAGCGGUAAGGCCCUUUCGGGGGUACACGAGCGGCGAACGGGUGAGUAACACGUGGGUGACCUGCCCUCAGCUCUGGGAUAAGCCUGGGAAACCGGGUCUAAUACCGGAUAUGACUCCAUGACGCAUGUUGUGGGGUGGAAAGCCUUGUGCGGCUGAGGAUGGGGCCCGCGGCCUAUCAGCUUGUUGGUGGGGUGANGGCCUACCAAGGCGACGACGGGUAGCCGGCCUGAGAGGGCGACCGGCCACACUGGGACUGAGACACGGCCCAGACUCCUACGGGAGGCAGCAGU
rnacentral:rRNA from 1 species